AUGAGCGCGGGCGCGACAGCCUUGUCCCGGUCGAUGAUGGCGGCGGUGCUCCUUCUCAUCCUCUACCUCCAAGGACACGCACCAGUACAGCUCAGGCACCCCCGUCCCCAAAUCCCGUCCACCCAUCCGGCGUUGUCUAACUCAUCCUCAGGCUCGUGGAUUCGCCUCCUCCUGUACGCGACACUUGAAACGUGGACGUGGUGA
rnacentral:rRNA from 1 species